rnacentral:rRNA from 1 species
UUGAUCCUGGCUCAGAAUCAACGCUGGCGGCGUGCCUAACACAUGCAAGUCGAACGCGAAAGUUCCGCAAGGGGUUAGUAGCGUGGCAAACGGGUGAGUUACACGUGGGUGACCUGCCUUCGAGUGGGGGAUAACGUCCCGAAAGGGACUCUAAUACCGCAUGACAUCCUGCCUUUGAAGAGGCGGAGAUCAAAGCUGGUGAUCGCAAGACCUAGCGCUUGAAGAGGGGCCCGCGUCUGAUUAGCUAGUUGGUGGGGUAACGGCUCACCAAGGCAACGAUCAGUAUCCGGCCUGAGAGGUCGGACGGACACACUGGGACUGAGACACGGCCCAGACUCCUACGGGAGGCUGCAGUGGGGAAUUGUUCGCAAUGGGCGCAAGCCUGACGACGCAACGCCGUGUGGAGGAUGAAGACCUUCGGGUCGUAAACUCCUUUCGAUCGAGACGAAUGGCUUCCGGGCUAACAUCCUGGGAGAAUGACGGUACCGAGAGAAGAAGCUCCGGCUAACUCCGUGCCAGCAGCCGCGGUAAUAAGGU